GCCAGGUGCAGUGGUGUACACCUGUAAUCCCAGCAACUGGAGAGGCUGAGGCAGUAGGAUCUCGAGUUCAAAGCCAACCUCAGCAAAAGCAUGGUGCUAAGCAACUCAGUGAGACCUUGCCUCUA
rnacentral:sRNA from 1 species